CACGUAGUUAGCCGGGGCUUCUUAGUCAGGUACCGUCAUUAUCUUCCCUGCUGAUAGAGCUUUAUAUACCGAAAUACUUCUUCACUCACGCGGCGUCGCUGCAUCAGGGUUUCCCCCAUUGUGCAAUAUUCCCCACUGCUGCCUCCCGUAGGAGUCUGGGCCGUGUCUCAGUCCCAAUGUGGCCGUUCACUCUCUCAAGCCGGCUACUGAUCGUCGCCUUGGUAGGCCGUUACCCUGCCAACUAGCUAAUCAGACGCGGGUCCAUCUCACAGCGAUAAAUCUUUGAAGGAACCUUCAUGCGGAGAUCCCUUGUUAUGCGGUAUUAGCAGCCGUUUCCGGCUGUUGUCCCCCUCUGUGAGGCAGGUUACCCACGCGUUACUCACCCGUCCGCCACUCAGUCAUUACCAUCUUCCCUCCGAAAAGUUCCGUCGGUAGCGCUUCGUUCGACUUGCAUGUGUUAAGCACGCCGCCAGCGUUCAUCCUGAGCCAGGAUCAAACU
rnacentral:rRNA from 1 species